rnacentral:lncRNA from 1 species
CGUGUAAUCACUUACCUCCAUGUAGUUUAAGUGCAUGGACUAAACAUGCAAUAAUUCAUCAUACAUAUCUAUCAUUACCAGUAAAGGUGUAUCACAAAUCAACUUUAAGCAAGUGAUGUAAAAAUGAGAUUUCUAUUUAAUGCACUAUUGUAAAUUGUACCAACUGCCAGUGUUAACACUGGCAGCAUAAGAUGCCAAAAAAGCUUUUAAAUGCCUGGAAGGAGGAUGCUUUCCAAAACUGUUAGGCCUUCCUUUCUCUUCUUUGCAGUUCAUCAGUACAACACAGAGGUGUGGCUGAGAUAAAUCACUCCAGCUUUCCAGCUCUGCAAGUGGUAACCUCAAGUACAUUAGCUCAUUUUCAGAUGAUAUUACAG